rfam:Oryza sativa (indica cultivar-group) chromosome 1, whole genome shotgun sequence.
UUUAAGCGCAGUUGUAGGUUUUUUAUCCAACGUUUAACCGUUCGUCUUAUUUAAAAAUUUUUCAUGAUUAGUAUUUUUAUUGUUAUUAGAUGAUAAAACAUGAAUAAUAUUUUAUAUGUGACUUUUUUUUAAAAAAAUCAUAUUUUUUUUAAAUAAAACAAAUGAUCAAACGUUGGAUAUAGAAACCCACAACUGCACCUAAA